rnacentral:rRNA from 1 species
UACGUAGGGUCCGAGCGUUGUCCGGGGUUACUGGGCGUAAAGCGCGCGCAGGCGGCGGUGCUGGCCCGGCGUGAAAGCCCCCGGCUCAACCGGGGAGAGUCGUCGGGGACCGCACCGCUUGAGGGCGGUAGGGGCUGGUGGAAUGCCUGGUGUAGUGGUGAAAUGCGCAGAUAUCAGGAAGAACACCAAUGGCGAAAGCAGCUCUCUGGGACGGUACUGACGCUGUGACGCGAAAGCGUGGGGAGCGAACAGG